rnacentral:rRNA from 1 species
UAGCUAGUUGGUGAGGUAAAGGCUUACCAAGGCGACGAUCUGUAGCGGGUCUGAGAGGAUGAUCCGCCACACUGGAACUGAGACACGGUCCAGACUCCUACGGGAGGCAGCAGUGGGGAAUUUUGGACAAUGGGGGCAACCCUGAUCCAGCCAUGCCGCGUGAGUGAAGAAGGCCUUCGGGUUGUAAAGCUCUUUCGGCCGGGAAGAGAUCGCAUGGGCCAAUACCCUGUGUGGAUGACGGUACCGGAAUAAGAAGCACCGGCUAACUACGUGCCAGCAGCCGCGGUAAUACGUAGGGUGCGAGCGUUAAUCGGAAUUACUGGGCGUAAAGCGUGCGCAGGCGGUUUUGUAAGGCAGGCGUGAAAUCCCCGGGCUUAACCUGGGAACUGCGUUUGUGACUGCAAGGCUAGAGUACGGCAGAGGGGGGUGGAAUUCCACGUGUAGCAGUGAAAUGCGUAGAGAUGUGGAGGAACACCAAUGGCGAAGGCAGCCCCCUGGGUCGAUACUGACGCUCAUGCACGAAAGCGUGGGUAGCAAACAGGAUUAGAUACCCUGGUAGUCCACGCCCUAAACUAUGUCAACUAGGUGUUGGGUGGGUAAAACCAUUUAGUACUGUAGCUAACGCGUGAAGUUGACCGCCUGGGGAGUACGGCCGCAAGGUUAAAACUCAAAGGAAUUGACGGGGACCCGCACAAGCGGUGGAUGAUGUGGAUUAAUUCGAUGCAACGCGAAAAACCUUACCUACCCUUGACAUGCCAGGAACUUGCCAGAGAUGGCUUGGUGCCCGAAAGGGAGCCUGGACACAGGUGCUGCAUGGCUGUCGUCAGCUCGUGUCGUGAGAUGUUGGGUUAAGUCCCGCAACGAGCGCAACCCUUGUCGUUAAUUGCCAUCAUUUAGUUGGGCACUUUAACGAGACUGCCGGUGACAAACCGGAGGAAGGUGGGGAUGACGUCAAGUCCUCAUGGCCCUUAUGGGUAGGGCUUCACACGUCAUACAAUGGUCGGUACAAAGGGUUGCCAAGCCGCGAGGCGGAGCCAAUCCCAGAAAGCCGAUCGUAGUCCGGAUUGCAGGCUGCAACUCGCCUGCAUGAAGUCGGAAUCGCUAGUAAUCGUGGAUCAGCAUGUCACGGUGAAUACGUUCCCGGGUCUUGUACACACCGCCCGUCACACCAUGGGAGCGGGUUCCGCCAGAAGUAGGUAGCCUAACCGCAAGGGGGGCGCUUACCACGGCGGGGUUCGUGACUGGGGUGAAGUCGAAACAAGGUAGCCGUAGGGGAACCUGCGGCUG